GUCGUCAUGAAAAAAAACAUAAGGGGUAACACUGUUGUCUUUGUCAAAUAAAAUAUAAGGCGUAAGACUGUCGUUUUUUUAGAUUUUAUUUGGUGUCUUGAUGGUGCAUUGGUUAGUUCGGAGGUUAACACUCUAAACAGCUCAGGUUCGGAUCCCUGCAAAAAUGUUGACAGGGGUUCCACUGUCGAUAUUUAUUGGUCAACAUGGAAAAAACAUGAGGGUAACUCUGUCGUUUUUUAUCGCCGUCAUGAAAUAAACAUACGGGGUAACACUGUCGAUAUUCAUCAAAGAAAACAUAUGGGGUAACACUGUUGUUUUUUAUUGGUCGUCAUGAAAAAAAACAUAAGGGGUAACACUGUCAUUUUUUAUCGGCCGUCAUGAAGUAAACAUAAGGGGUAACACUGUCGAUAAUCAUCAAAUAAAACAUAGGGGGUUAGACUGUCGUUUUUCUUUGGUCGUCAUGAAAAAAAACAUAAGGGGUAACAGUGUCGUUUUUUAUUGGUCGUCAUGAAAAAAAACAUAAAGGGUAACACUGUUGUUUUUUAUUGGUCUUCAUGAAAAAAAACAUAAUGGGUAACACUGUUGGUUUUUAUUGGUCGUCUUGAAAAAAAACAUAAAGGGUAACACUGUUGUUUUUUAUUGGUCGUCAUGAAAAAAAACAUAAGGGGUAACACUGUUGUUUUUUA
ensembl:lncRNA